rnacentral:rRNA from 1 species
GACAGAGGUGCCGAGCGUUAGGCGGAAUCACUGGGCUUAAAGCGUGUGUAGGCGGGCCGCUAAGUGUCUUGUGAAAUCCCCCGGCUCAACCGGGGAAUUGCUGGGCAUACUGGCGGUCUUGAGCAAUCUAGGGGCAGAUGGAACAAGUGGUGGAGCGGUGAAAUGCGUAGAUAUCACUUGGAACGCCAAAGGUGAAGACAGUCUGCUGGGGAUUUGCUGACGCUGAGACGCGAAAGCGUGGGGAGCGAACAGG